UUCUUCCAAACCACAUUUUUUUCUCUUUCAGAAAAUUCUCUGGAAGAUUACUUUAUUUUUAUAAACUGAACACACUGUUCUUGGAGGGGUCAUUGUGAGGAUUAAAUAAGGAAAAUAUAUGCAGACUGGAAAAGAGAAAGGAUGAUUGUGUGUCCUUAGUGUUGCACAGUGCCUGGUCGUUAGGAGCUGUUCAGUUAAUGUUUGUUGAAUGAAUUAAUCUGCACAACAUAGGGUGGGACUGAUAACCUUCACUUUUCUAGAACUUAUAUUUUUAUUAACGCAGCCUGAAAUUGAGUUUGGCUCUUUUUGGAUGAAAUAGCAUGCUGUUCACUUAUAUUCACAAAUUUAAUCCUUUAAGAUUAAGGCUUUGAGCUAUGAGGGAAAAUGGAAGACAAAAGUCUCCUGAGGUACUUUGUAUGAAUGCCUUAAUCAGGUCCUUUCCUGGGCAAUAUGUAGUAGAGCAGAGUGAGGGUGGUAGAGAGACAGAGCCAGAGGAAAGCCUGCUUAGAUGGUCAUGGAUAUUCAGGGGCAAGCCUGAAGUGCUUGGAGCCCAGGGAAAGUGAGAAGGGCUCUAGGAAAAAAGAUGGGCGUUGAAAAGUAGUUCCUUAUUUUAGGUGUAGGCCUAGACUGAAUAACACUAAAUAAAACAGUAGGUUGAUAUGCUGCUUUCUACCUGUAAUAUGGCUCCACUUCCCUUCCAUCGAUUAAAAUUCUGCCUGUGUGCAAAAUGUUCACAGUUAAGUGGAAAAAAGAAGAGAGAGAAUCAAAAUGGUAAAGAGCAUUCUGGUCAGGAUGGAAGCGAGUAGAGCAGUGAUUAAGAGCAUGGUCUCUGGAAUCAGACAACUGAUUUGACUCUUGGUCCUUAUUAGCUGGUAAUCUUGAAGAUUGCUUACUGGCCUUGUACCUCUGUUUUAUCACCUAUAAAAUGGGUAUAGUAAUAGUACCUACCUCAAAAGAUUGUUGAGAAUAUUUCAUGAGAAAAUGAAUAUGAAAUUGGCGCAUAGUAAGUCUUCAGUAAAUGUUAGCUGUUAUUAUUAUGGUACUGUUUAUUCUGCUUUUGACUCCCUACUCUGAUCCAAAUGUAGCAAUUACAGAUUUAAAAAGAAAAAUGAUAAGAGUGACAUCAGCAUCAUGGCAGAGUGAGGUGUUCCCUUAGUUUCUCCCCCACUAAGUUUCAACCAAAUGGACAUUCAUUAACCAACAGAGGAUUCCCUACAAAGCACAAUAAGACGUGAGAGAUCCAUGCAGCCAUACAUCUGAAGGUGCAGCUGCUCGAUCCCUGCGAAGCAGUGGAAGGGGGACUCUUGAUUUUAACCUGGAGAAAUUUGAUGUGCACGGAAUACAUAAUUUGGCUGAGUGCUGAGUGGCUAAAUAUCACCAUUACAGAAUGGACCUCUGGGAUACUAAUCUGAAACUUUGUAAAAUAAGUAUUAUGAUUUUAGUAUAGGUUUUCAUCUUUUCAUCUAUGUUUCUGAAAUCUCAAAAACUCUGAAAACCGGAAGUUUUUUUAAAAUGCUUAAGAUGAAUUAAUUUGGUAGCAAAAUUUGAACCGAUAUUAGGCUCUCUGUAGUGUUUAUUUGUCUGAUACAAAUGUAUGUUUUGCUGUAGAAAUAUUAGUCUGUUAAUGGCAUACUGCAUGAAACCCUCCUGGGCAGUUUACAAAAUAUAUCAUACAUACAGUGUGUUACCUCCCUAAAAUCCAUAAACUUCUGAAUCCCAUAAAAUUCUGGCCCCAAAACAUAUCUUGCCCAAAGGAUUCAGCAAAAGGAUUGUGGACUUUUAUUAAAAAUUUAAAUAGCUUAAAAUUUAAAUAGUCAGCUUUUAAAAGUUGGCUAUUGUGCAGGAACGAUCAUUUUUCAUCACAGUCAGUUGCUAGAUGUUUCCUAUAAUCCCCAUUCUACACUUCUACAUUACUAAAUAGAUGCUUAUUUCAAAGAUCUCUUUUGGCUAGCUCUACUGUAAUACUGGUACUGGUUAUGUUGUUGAGUUAUUAGGCUUUUCUUCUCCAAUAGUAACUGACUAAGGGAACGACUUGUCUUCAACUUUUGGACUUGAAGAUUUGGAAGGCUUAUUUCAUUGAAGUGGUCUCACAAACUGAAGUUUCACGUACUGCUUGAAGAAGAUACUUGUUUCUUUUUUCACUUGAGGAAGAUUAGCCCUGAGGUAACAUCUGUGCCAGUCUUCCUCUAUUUUGCAUGUGGGAUGCCUCCACAGCAUGGCUGAUGAGUGGAGUGGGUCCACACCUGGGAUGCGAACCUGUGAACCUGGGCUGCUGAAGUGGAGCGCGCAGAACUUUAACCCCUCGGCCACAGGGCUGUCCCCCAGAAGAUACUUUUUGAAUAUCUUCCAAAGCAGAUUUAAAGUUGUUUCCCUCCUAUAUUUUAUUUCUGAUGUUUUUGUUUGUAUUUGUGGCUUCAUAUGAUUUCUUAAAAAAAUAUGUUAUCUAGAAAGCAAUGUAAUUAGCUUUCAACAUAAGAACAUCUGAGUUUCCAUUUGCAUUUUGGCUUUAAUUGCGUGCAUGCCGAUUUCAGCAUCUUCUUUAGAAUAGAAUAAAAAAAUAUGUACAGCAACUAUCAUGUAAGAAAUUCUUACCUGCUCAAGGCACAUCAAUUUGGUUACUGUAUUAACAGUCUCACUAUUUAGUCAGUAAGCUACAUUUAGUUACUAGUAAGCCCUACUAUUUUUCUAUGUUAUCUGAAAAUAUAGGAUUAUAGAUAUGAAGGUAGCCUAUGUGGUCACUCACAAAAUUAGGAAUUAUCAGAAAUGAUAUUGAAGUACUUAGUUGGCUAUUUGCCUUCUAGAGGCUGAGGCUGGACUUGGGUGCAUCCCUAGUAGAACCAUUUCUAAGUCUCUAAGAGACUCAAUUACUAACAUCUGGGAAGUCCAGCCAAAUAUGACUCAUUCUAGGAGUGCAUCUCUUGCCUCUAUUAUCCUCUGGUAUUGGAUUUAUUUCUCACACAGGCCAUCUCAAUGUAACAAGAAAGAUGGUCUUUCUCAACCCCAAGCCAAAAUCUCAAUGAGCCCAAUGGAAGAGACUUUCCACAUGCAUGUAUCGGUUUUGAGAAUACACUGAUUGGUUCUGCCUAGGUUACAUACCCACCAUUGAACCAAUUACUGUAUCAGAGAUGGGGAUUUUGGCCAGCCUUGGCUAUAUUUUCACUCCUAAUCCCUUGGUGUGUGUGUAUGUGCGCGUGUGUGCAUGCGCGUGCCCACACAUGCCAGUGGGUAUGGGUGAGUGUGUGAGCCAGUGAUGUUUGUUUAUGUGGGGGAGUGGAUGGAAGUUGAGAGGGACACUCUAAUCAACAACUCCACCAGGACCUUGUAGAAUGAGGGAGGUGGUGUCAUUAUAGCAUGUACAGAAAAUAUUUAUGAAAACAAUCUCCCCACUCAAAACCUCAUUCGUUGAGGUCUAGCAAAAUCUGUCUUCUCUAUAAAACUUUCCUAGUCACACAGCCUGGAAAUGGCUCCUUCUCUGGCUGUUUGUACUGCAUACUUUGCAUUAUUGGUAUGUACAGUAUGUGCAUGUUCUGUCUUGUCUACUGAUAGUCGAAAUAAGGAAACUAGUUGAAUAACUGUUAGUGCUUCCUAAUUGAUUACUUCACUGCAACAUAACAGGCUCUACAUUUUUGUUGAAUUAAUGAAUGCUAACUCUUUAAAGAUGUCUUAGGGUUAUGUUUGUAGUACUCAGUGGUGUAAAAUGGAUUCAUGUAUUAGCUGUAAGUUCUUAUCUGUUUGUAAGAGUUGUUAGAGAGAACCCUUACCUGAAAAUACUUCAUGGUUCUUGGACCUUUCAUUUUACUUGUUACAUGGAGUGAGUUUGUGUGUGAAAUAAAUCCAGUACUGGAGAACAGUAGAGGCAAGAGAUGCACUCCUGGAUUACAUUUCUGUUCUUUCUCCUGACUGUAGUGAGCUUUGACUAUAAUAAUCAUUUCUUGCAUUUGUCCAUGGGGAGAAUUCUCUCAGGAUAAAUAUACUUCCUCUAUAUAAACAUAUAAACAGUAACAUUUUAUUAA